rnacentral:hammerhead_ribozyme from 1 species
AUCUAGAUGACAAGUCCCACAAAGGACGAAACGCUCAUUCUAGAU